CAUGCCGCGUGUGUGAAGAAGGCUUUCGGGUUGUAAAGCACUUUCAGUGAGGAGGAAAGUUAGUCGUUAAUACCGGCUAGCCUUGACGUUACUCACAGAAGAAGCACCGGCUAACUCCGUGCCAGCCACGGCGGUGACUGAGCGGGCUGGCAAGGCGCAUA
rnacentral:rRNA from 1 species